UACGUAGGGUGCGAGCGUUGUCCGGAAUUAUUGGGCGUAAAGAGCUCGUAGGCGGUCUGUCGCGUCGGUCGUGAAAACUUGGGGCUUAACCCUGAGCUUGCGGUCGAUACGGGCAUGACUGGAGUUCGGCAGGGGAGACUGGAAUUCCUGGUGUAGCGGUGAAAUGCGCAGAUAUCAGGAGGAACACCGGUGGCGAAGGCGGCAUCCUGGACCGGUAUUGACGCUGAGGCGCGAAAGCUAGGGGAGCAAACGGG
rnacentral:rRNA from 1 species